rnacentral:rRNA from 1 species
AAGGUUAGUGGCGGACGGGUGAGUAACGCGUGGGCAACCUGCCCUGUACUGGGGGAUAGCAGCUGGAAACGGCUGGUAAUACCGCAUAAGCGCACAGUACCGCAUGGUACAGUGUGAAAAGCUCCGACGGUACAGGAUGGGCCCGCGUCCGAUUAGCCAGUUGGCGGGGUAACGGCCCACCAAAGCGACGAUCGGUAGCCGGCCUGAGAGGGCGGACGGCCACAUUGGGACUGAGACACGGCCCAGACUCCUACGGGAGGCAGCAGUGGGGGAUAUUGCACAAUGGGGGAAACCCUGAUGCAGCGACGCCGCGUGGGUGAAGAAGUAUUUCGGUAUGUAAAGCCCUAUCAGCAGGGACGAUAAUGACGGUACCUGAGUAAGAAGCCCCGGCUAACUACGUGCCAGCAGCCGCGGUAAUACGUAGGGGGCAAGCGUUAUCCGGAUUUACUGGGUGUAAAGGGGGCGCAGACGGAAAUGCAAGCCAGAUGUGAAAGCCCCGGGCUCAGCCCGGGGAGUGCAUUUGGAACUGUGUAUCUAGAGUACUGGAGAGGUAAGCGGAAUUCCUGGUGUAGCGGUGAAAUGCGUAGAUAUCAGGAAGAACACCGGUGGCGAAGGCGGCUUACUGGACAGAGACUGACGUUGA